rnacentral:rRNA from 1 species
UAGGGAAUCUUCGGCAAUGGACGAAAGUCUGACCGAGCAACGCCGCGUGAGUGAAGAAGGUUUUCGGAUCGUAAAACUCUGUUGUUAGAGAAGAACAAGGACGUUAGUAACUGAACGUCCCCUGACGGUAUCUAACCAGAAAGCCACGGCUAACUACGUGCCAGCAGCCGCGGUAAUACGUAGGAGGCAAGCGUUGUCCGGAUUUAUUGGGCGUAAAGCGAGCGCAGGCGGUUUCUUAAGUCUGAUGUGAAAGCCCCCGGCUCAACCGGGGAGGGUCGUUGGAAACUGGGGAACUUGAGUGCAGAAGAGGAGGGUGGAAUUCCAUGUGUAGCGGUGAAAUGCGUAGAUAUAUGGAGGAACACCAGUAGCGAAGGCGGCUCUCUGGUCUGUAACUGACGCUGAGGCUCGAAAGCGUGGGGAGCAAACAGG